rnacentral:rRNA from 1 species
GACGAACGCUGGCGGCGUGCUUAACACAUGCAAGUCGAACGGAAAGGCCCUGCUUUUGUGGGGUGCUCGAGUGGCGAACGGGUGAGUAACACGUGAGUAACCUGCCCUUGACUUUGGGAUAACUUCAGGAAACUGGGGCUAAUACCGGAUAGGAGCUCCUGCUGCAUGGUGGGGGUUGGAAAGUUUCGGCGGUUGGGGAUGGACUCGCGGCUUAUCAGCUUGUUGGUGGGGUAGUGGCUUACCAAGGCUUUGACGGGUAGCCGGCCUGAGAGGGUGACCGGCCACAUUGGGACUGAGAUACGGCCCAGACGCCUACGGGAGGCAGCAGUGGGGAAUAUUGCACAAUGGGCGGAAGCCUGAUGCAGCAACGCCGCGUGCGGGAUGACGGCCUUCGGGUUGUAAACCGCUUUCGCCUGUGACGAAGCGUGAGUGACGGUAAUGGGUAAAGAAGCACCGGCUAACUACGCG